rnacentral:rRNA from 1 species
UACAGAGGGUGCGAGCGUUAAUCGGAAUUACUGGGCGUAAAGCGUGCGUAGACGGUAGCGUAAGUCAGAUGUGAAAGCCCCGGGCUCAACCUGGGAACUGCAUUUGAGACUGCUCUGCUCGGGUGCGGAAGAGGGAAGCGGAAUUUCCGGUGUAGCGGUGAAAUGCGUAGAUAUCGGAAGGAACACCAGUGGCGAAAGCGGCUUCCUGGGUCUUUGCUGACGCUGAGGCACGAAAGCUAGGGUAGCGAACGGG